UAGCAGAGAGGUGAGCGCUCAGAAAGCUCAGAGAUCACUGGUCGCCCCAGCGAGGACUCUCUGAUCCAGGAGCUGGUCUCAGCUCUGGGCUCUUGUGGUGGGAGCAUCUUUCCGGAUUGUGAUUCUUGACUUUAAAAGACCCAUUUCCUAUACAACAGGGCCUCUAAACCCCAACCCUCUGCUUCUCUUGGUGCAUAAUGUAAGAACAACUGUCAACUCGGCUGUGCUGGACUCAACGGAAGACGUGUUCGUUUCUAGCGUGGUGCCUUUCUGAGAGAUUUCCAGAGGCUGUGUGGACCACCUGCUGUUUUCACCCGAGACAGAAGAUGCAAUAAGAAAGAGUUUCUUUUCCUACGCUGGAGACUAUUUUGUAAGAAAUGACGCUGGAUCAAUUCAUUUCAGAGAAGAGUGCCAACACAUAAAAAUCUCAAGGAGCCAGGCUCUUGGCAACAUCACUGAACCACAGCAUAAACCUAGAAGUCACCAGGUUUCUUAUGUGAAAUAAUAAACAUCUCGUUUUGGUGCCACUUUCAA